rnacentral:lncRNA from 1 species
AAAUGCUUAAGCCGGGUUAAAAGUUUAGCCCUAUUAUAUCUUAUAUAUAGGACUAUCUGGGUUCUCACAAUCUCCCCUCCUUUAAGCCCUGACGUUCUCGUCAGGCUCAGACUCACAAGUAUCAGGCGAUGUGAGACUCGUCUCGCUAGCCCGUUAUCCAGACCCUGGCUCAGCCGAGACUCAUCUCACACUUCCGGCUGGUAAUUGGCUCUGAUACCAUCUAUGACGCCCCAACUUCCCAGGGGAUCACCCAUCCUAGGACUACUCUCGUCCUAGCACGCUUAACUCUCUUAACCUCUUAGGCCUUGCCACUACUCAAAAUGCUUA